rnacentral:rRNA from 1 species
GAUCCUGGCUCAGAUUGAACGCUGGCGGCAGGCUUAACACAUGCAAGUCGAACGGUAGCAGGAGGAAGCUUGCUUUCUUGCUGACGAGUGGCGGACGGGUGAGUAAUGCUUGGGAAUCUGGCUUAUGGAGGGGGAUAACUACGGGAAACGUGUAGCUAAUACCGCGUAGAAUCGGAGAUGAAAGUGCGGGACCGCAAGGCCGCAUGCCAUGAGAUGAGCCCAAGUGGGAUUAGG